UCAUUUCAGACGAUUUUUUUCCCUAUCUAAAGUUUUUAGAAUUUUUACUGUCAAUAUUUUUUCCCGCUUGUUCGUCUUCACUCCCGGCGAUUCCAGUUGAAGGUGUUGCGAUUGUAGUUGGUUGUUUUUGGUUUUGCGAAUUUCAUCCUCGGGUCCGACGUUUAGGUCCGACGUUAGUUCCUGUGUUGUUCGGCAUUUUGAAGGGUAGGAUUUGGAAGUUCUUUCGUCUCCCGCCGUUGCCUCCGGCGACUGUGUCCGUGGGUACGGAGCAAUUUCUCCCUCUACAGGUGAUUCUAGUUCGUAAGGGUUUCCAACCAUUGGUGGUUCGCCUUCCGCCCAAGGCUCCGGCGACUUCCUCCACCAUUCCUAUGUACGAAAAUUUCAGAGCUGUAGAGAUUUCUUUGAAAAAAACUCCCGUUGAUACUAAUAAAGAGAGCUAUCAUGAUGGAAUAACUGUAACCACUAAGGAAUAUGCUGAAGAUUUGGACAAAGAGAUCAUCAAUUACGAUGAAGUACGAACUCGUCUUCGCCGUCUAGAAUUUGAGCUCACAAGAGCUCUGUGCUCCAUUAGAUCUAAACGGGAGGAUAGUAUUUCAUAAGAGAAGGAUGAGAAGAUCAAAGUCUGGCGUGUUUUCAAUAACCUUGAAGUUGUAUCCGGGCAAAUACGAGAUCAAAUUCAUAGUUAAUGGACAAUGGAAACUCGAUCCUCUGCGCCCUACCGUCAACAACAAUGGACAUCAAAACAACCUUUUCAUCGUUACAUGAAUCUGUACAAAAUUUGUUUGCACUUACAGAUAGAAAAAUACCCCAAAAAGCUGGUGUACAACAUGCAAUGAUUUUAUUACCAUACAUAUGAGUUAUUUGUUACUUUUAUAUUAUUUUCAUUUUUCUUACUUUGGGGUAAGAGUCGAAGCCUUACUUUUAUAAGAUCCUAACCAAUAAAUUGAGUACAUAUUCUGUGUAGUCAUAUGGCAGGUCAGCUAAUAACAAUGAUAGUGUAGAAGUUUAUCUGUUUUUCUAUGAGGUCAAUAUUCAUAUAUGCUGAAGAAGUUAAUUUUUGUCCUUGUUUUACCCUACGGGAAAGGUGAUUUUAUAUGUCCCUCGAUCAUUGCUGAUAUUGUAGGAUUGUAUGAACUAUUUUGAGAUUUUACUAUUUAUUGGUCGAAGUAAAGUAACUGUAUCUUUCUAAGUGCUAGAGAAACGCCUUGGACCGUAAAGAUUGUUGCUAGACAGAGCAAGAGAGAUCAAGUUCUUGCAGCUUUUGAUGGAAUGAGGAAUGGUGUUUCAGGCAGAGAUUCUUGGCUGCUGAAGCACUGAAUCCAUUGAAACAGAGAUUCUUGCGAGGAUCAAGGUUCCUCUCUAUUUUGAGGAAUGGUGUUUGAGAUGGAGAUUCUUGGCUGUUGAAGCACUCAAUCCAUUGAA